rnacentral:rRNA from 1 species
GACGAACGCUGGCGGCGUGCUUAACACAUGCAAGUCGAACGGUAAGGCCCUUCGGGGUACACGAGUGGCGAACGGGUGAGUAACACGUGGGUGAUCUGCCCUGCACUUUGGGAUAAGCCUGGGAAACUGGGUCUAAUACCGAAUAGGACUCCGGACUGCAUGGUCUGGGGUGGAAAGCUUUUGCGGUGUGGGAUGGGCCCGCGGCCUAUCAGCUUGUUGGUGGGGUGAUGGCCUACCAAGGCGACGACGGGUAGCCGGCCUGGGAGGGUGACCGGCCACACUGGGACUGAGCUACGGCCCAGACUCCUACGGGAGGCAGCAGUGGGGAAGAUUGCACAAUGGGCGCAAGCCUGAUGCAGCGACGCCGCGUGAGGGAUGACGGCCUUCGGGUUGUAAACCUCUUUCAGCACAGACGAAGCGCAAGUGACGGUAUGUGCAGAAGAAGGACCGGCCAACUACGUGCCAGCCGCCGCGGUAA